rnacentral:rRNA from 1 species
CGCCGGACCUGACUGCUAUCGGAUUGAUACUAAGCCAUGCGAGUCAUUGUAGCAAUACAAGGCAGACGGCUCAGUAACGCGUAGUCAACCUGGCCUAUGGACGGGGAUAACCUCGGGAAACUGAGAAUAAUACCCGAUAGAACAUUAUACCUGGAAUGGUUUAUGUUUCAAAUAAUUUAUUGCCGUAGGAUGGGACUGCGGCCUAUCAGUUUGUUGGUGAGGUAAUGGCCCACCAAGACUAUUACAGGUACGGGCUCUGAGAGGAGUAGCCCGGAGAUGGGUACUGAGACACGGAUCCAGGCCCUAUGGGGCGCAGCAGGCGAGAAAACUUUGCAAUGUGCGAAAGCACGACAAGGUUAAUCCGAGUGGUUUCUGCUAAAGGAACCUUUUGUCAGUCCUAGAAACACUGAUGAAUAAGGGGUGGGCAAGUUCCGGUGUCAGCA